GACGAACGCUGGCGGCGUGCUUAACACAUGCAGGUCGAACGGAAAGGCCCUGCUUUUGUGGGGUGCUCGAGUGGCGAACGGGUGAGUAACACGUGAGUAACCUGCCCUUGACUUUGGGAUAACUUCAGGAAACUGGGGCUAAUACCGGAUAGGAGCUCCUGCUGCAUGGUGGGGGUUGGAAAGUUUCGGCGGUUGGGGAUGGACUCGCGGCUUAUCAGCUUGUUGGUGGGGUAGUGGCUUACCAAGGCUUUGACGGGUAGCCGGCCUGAGAGGGUGACCGGCCACAUUGGGCCUGAGAUACGGCCCAGAAUCCUACGGGAGGCAGCAGUGGGGAAUAUUGCACAAUGGGCGGAAGCCUGAUGCAGCAACGCCGCGUGCGGGAUGACGGCCUUCGGGUUGUAAACCGCUUUCGCCUGUGACGAAGCGUGAGUGACGGUAAUGGGUAAAGAAGCACCGGCUAACUACGUG
rnacentral:rRNA from 1 species